rnacentral:rRNA from 1 species
AUGCAAGUCGAACGGUAACAGGAAGCAGCUUGCUUCUUUGCUGACGAGUGGCGGACGGGUGAGUAAUGUCUGGGAAACUGCCUGAUGGAGGGGGAUAACUACUGGAAACGGUAGCUAAUACCGCAUAACGUCGCAAGACCAAAGAGGGGGACCUUCGGGCCUCUUGCCAUCGGAUGUGCCCAGAUGGGAUUAGCUUGUUGGUGGGGUAACGGCUCACCUAGGCGACGAUCCCUAGCUGGUCUGAGAGGAUGACCAGCCACACUGGAACUGAGACACGGUCCAGACUCCUACGGGAGGCAGCAGUGGGGAAUAUUGCACAAUGGGCGCAAGCCUGAUGCAGCCAUGCCGCGUGUAUGAAGAAGGCCUUCGGGUUGUAAAGUACUUUCAGCGGGGAGGAAGGGAGUAAAGUUAAUACCUUUGCUCAUUGACGUUACCCGCAGAAGAAGCACCGGCUAACUCCGUGCCAGCAGCCGCGGU